rnacentral:lncRNA from 1 species
UAUUGUGUUAAACUUCAUGCAGCCCAUUUACUUAUAUUAAGAUUGAGGUCAUUCUUCAAAGAUAAAAGCUUACCAGUCGUGACAUGUGAUAAUUGAUGAAGGCGCAUGCUCUACAUCUAUCAUCUGGUUCGAUGAAACCUUUUCGAUUUCUUCGUCUCGAUAUUUUGCCCCCCCUGCCAUUCUACAGCCAUCGUCGGGAUUACACUCGCAACUACAAUGAAUGCGAACAUGACGCCGUUGCUCGCAUAAAACUCGACUCUCUACAGCAUCUGCGGGAAGCCUGGAUUAUCGGAUCGGUAUACCUAUCCAGGUACAUAUACCGAAAGGGCCAAUAAAACCCUAAGUCUGGCGCGCAAAAAGCGAUAAAAAAAAAAAAAAAAAAAAAACACCAACCCUGGCAGCCUCGCUCCGGAAACGGCUCACUGCGUAUGUGAUGAUCAUGAUAUUAACAGUGGUGACAAUUGGAGAGCCGACAGCGGCAAUAGCGGCCUGGUUGUGGGAGUAGCAUGAUACUAACAUCCCACUGAGAAGACAUCUGCAUUUUUGGUUUGGAGAAAAAACACAACAAUACUGCAUGUUAAGAGAGCUAUGCCGAGGUAACAGAAAUCAGAGUUCUAUCACACUCUAUUCUGGGCAGGUGAUUGCCACUUUGUGUCAGGCGACGCCACACACAAUUGAUCGGAUAGGUGGCUGGGGAGGAGAAACAGUUGCAUUGAAUACGGUAGGCCUGACUGGGUACCGUAUAAGAUGCAGAGCCGAGCUCCGAAAGACAACUCGGGUAGACAAGAUCUUGGACACACAAUAGAGUUGAUCGAAUGCGCUUGAAUCGGAAGUAAUAUUGCCGGAAACGCACUUUUUGAUUCAUUGAACCAUCGAAAUCGAUCUCAAUCACAGAUGUCAAGAAACAUCAGAGUGUCAGCUGCACGCCGUUCACCUAUGCUCUCUGUACGGAGUAGACUUCGUGUAUCAGCCUUGCAUUCCGACACUUCCGAACACCGAACGUCACCAUCAGAGCCCCAAGUCUCCAUACACCGAGCAUAACCUCUCUUGAGAAAAUCUCACUACCGCACUCCCAAUCACCACUGCAUGACACAUAAAAAAACACAGUAGUUAGUAGCUCGAUAGAGCCGCAUUGUAGAAUUCGAAUGACUUGGCUAUGAGACUGCAAACCAGUGAGAUGAGGAAUGCCCCGCGUCGACCAUACUCAUAGUAGUUAGUUGCCGAUUCGCGAAUAGCUUCCAUAAUCAAUGAAUGAAUGGUGCUCCGACUGGCCUUGUGUCAUGCACAUUUGUCUUCCCCACAUCUUCUUCCCCGUCUUCCAUGGAGAUGUUUGUUUGGACAUGCGUACUACGUAAAUGGGCCACCCAGCCAAUGAGAUGAAGGCUUCCAGAUCCUUCUCCCGCACC